CUAGUAAUCGCGCAUCAGCCAUGGCGCGGUGAAUACGUUCCCGGGCCUUGUACACACCGCCCGUCAAGCCAUGGGAGCCGGGAGUGCCUGAAGGCCGUGACCGCAAGGAGCGGCCUAAGGUAAAACUGGUGACUGGGGCUAAGUCGUAACAAGGUACC
rnacentral:rRNA from 1 species